AGCAGUCGCCACGGUAAUACGGAGGAUCCAAGCGUUAUCCGGAAUCAUUGGGUUUAAAGGGUCCGUAGGCGGUCUUGUAAGUCAGUGGUGAAAGCCCAUCGCUCAACGGUGGAACGGCCAUUGAUACUGCAGGACUUGAAUUAUUGGGAAGUAACUAGAAUAUGUAGUGUAGCGGUGAAAUGCUUAGAGAUUACAUGGAAUACCAAUUGCGAAGGCAGGUUACUACCAAUUGAUUGACGCUGAUGGACGAAAGCGUGGGUAGCGAACAGGAUUAGAUACCCCAGUAGUCCCUGUCUCUUAUAC
rnacentral:rRNA from 1 species